GAUCCUGGCUUAGGACGAACGCUGGCGGCGUGCCUAACACAUGCAAGUCGAGCGAGGAGAUCCUUCGGGAUGAUCCUAGCGGCGGACGGGUGAGUAACACGUGGGCAACCUGCCUCAUAGAGAGGAAUAGCCUUCCGAAAGGGAGAUUAAUACCUCAUAACAUUGCAGUUUCGCAUGGAACAGCAAUUAAAGGAGUAAUCCGCUAUGAGAUGGGCCCGCGGCGCAUUAGCUAGUUGGUGAGGUAACGGCUCACCAAGGCGACGAUGCGUAGCCGACCUGAGAGGGUGAUCGGCCACAUUGGGACUGAGACACGGCCCAGACUCCUACGGGAGGCAGCAGUGGGGAAUAUUGCACAAUGGGGGAAACCCUGAUGCAGCCAACGCCGCGUGAGUGAUGACGGCCUUCGGGUUGUAAAGCUCUGUCUUCAGGGACGAUAAUGACGGUACCUGAGGAGGAAGCCACGGCUAACUACGUGCCAGCAGCUGC
rnacentral:rRNA from 1 species